GAAAUCAUCACUCAGUCACGCUAUCACGCGCUAUCUCGAAAUAGGAAAGAAUAGAAAGAAGAUAAAACUUGAACUGAUUGGACACAUAAAACGGAAAGAAAAAAACACUCAAACUGAAGAGUACAUCAAUAAAAAAAAAAAAAAAAAAAAAAUAAUAAUAAUAAUAACAAGCAAGGAAAGCAAAAUGGAAUGUAUUACAAUAAAAGAUACAAUUAGUGGAGAUAUGUAUUAUCUAAACUUAUCAUCAGAAGAAAAACAACGUUUCAUAAUAGACAACGAAUUCGCAAAGCAAAAACUGCAAGAAGUUAAAGAUUUUGCACUUGCAAAGAAAAUGGAAAAUGAUAUAAAUUUAAAUGGAAAAGAAAAUCUUGUAUCAAUAGAAGAUGAUAAUUCAUCUUGCACAGAAAAUGAGGAUUUAACAGUUUGUAAGCCACUCACUGAA